GGGGGUGUAACUCAAUGGUAGAGUGCUUGUCUAACAUAUACAAGGUCCUGGGGGGUUCAUCCCCA
rnacentral:tRNA from 1 species